AGCGUUGUUCGGAAUUACUGGGCGUAAAGCGCACGUAGGCGGUUAUUCAAGUCAGAGGUGAAAGCCCAGUGCUCAACACUGGAACUGCCUUUGAAACUAGAUAGCUUGAAUCCAGGAGAGGUGAGUGGAAUUCCGAGUGUAG
rnacentral:rRNA from 1 species